AAGGAAAUUAAGUACGGAAGUUCCUGAUUUCACGCUGUCAAGAAAAGCCUCUAGGAAGAGUAGUACUGCCCGUACCGCAAACCGACACAGGUAGAUGAGGAGAGAAUCCUAAGGUGAGCGAGAGAACUCUCGUUAAGGAACUCGGCAAAAUGACCCCGUAACUUCGGGAGAAGGGGUGCUCUAUUAGGGUGCAAGCCCGAGAGAGCCGCAGUGAAUAGGCCCAGGCGACUGUUUAGCAAAAACACAGGUCUCUGCAAAACCGUAAGGUGACGUAUAGGGGCUGACGCCUGCCCGGUGCUGGAAGGUUAAGAGGAGUGCUUAGCUUCGGCGAAGGUACGAAUUGAAGCCCCAGUAAACGGCGGCCGUAACUAUAACGGUCCUAAGGUAGCGAAAUUCCUUGUCGGGUAAGUUCCGNNNNNNNNNNGCGCAACGAUCUGGGCACUGUCUCAACGAGAGACUCGGUGAAAUUAUAGUACCUGUGAAGAUGCAGGUUACCCGCGACAGGACGGAAAGACCCCGUGGAGCUUUACUGCAACCUGAUAUGGAAUGUUUGUACCGCUUGUACAGGAUAGGUAGGAGCCGAAGAGACGUGUGCGCUAGCAUACGAGGAGGCAAUGGUGGGAUACUACCCUGGCUGUAUGACCAUUCUAACCCGCCACGCUUAGCGCGUGGGGAGACAGUGUCAGGUGGGCAGUUUGACUGGGGCGGUCGCCUCCUAAAGAGUAACGGAGGCGCCCAAAGGUUCCCUCAGAAUGGAUGGAAAUCAUUCGCAGAGUGUAAAGGCACAAGGGAGCUUGACUGCGAGACUGACAAGUCGAGCAGGGACGAAAGUCGGG
rnacentral:rRNA from 1 species